rnacentral:rRNA from 1 species
UACGUAGGGGGCAAGCGUUGUCCGGAUUUAUUGGGCGUAAAGAGCGUGUAGGCGGCUUUACAGGUCCGUUGUGAAGACUCGAGGCUCAACCUCGAGACGCCGGUGGAAACCGUAAAGCUAGAGUCCGGAAGAGGAGAGUGGAAUUCCUGGUGUAGCGGUGAAAUGCGCAGAUAUCAGGAAGAACACCCGUGGCGAAGGCGGCUCUCUGGGACGGUACUGACGCUGAGACGCGAAAGCGUGGGGAGCGAACAGG